GCAUAGCGUAGGCGAUGGACACCAGGUUAAUAUUCCUGGACCGGUUAUAUUUUGUACACUGUUCACGGCGGAGUAAUCGAAGCGGAUUCAUGGUAUGUAUCCGUCCAACCUAGCGGGAACGCGAAGGGAGUGAGAGUUGAUCUUCGGAUUAACGAUUUUGGUGAGGACGCUGGCUAGAAAAGCAGGUGUACGCGUGAAUAUAGCCGCCCGUACCGCAAACCAACACAGGUGCUCGAGUCGAGUAGACUCAGGCUUACGAGAGAACCUUCGCUAAGGAACUCGGCAAUACAGCGACCGUAACUUCGGGAUAAGGUCUGCCCCCUCUUCUUUGAAGAGGAAUUGCCGCGUACACUCAGCAAGGUGGUUAAAACGCGAUAAGUGUAAUGACUUACGCAUGAGUACGCAAUGUAUCGUUAAUCCCUCAAGAUUAUGAUACGUUCGUGAUAAAUCCUUUUUAAUCACAAAUUCUUACUGAGAUAGAGCAAAUGAUUUCAAUCAACUGUUCUUUUGUACGCGGUGCAACUUCGUCUUUAUGGAUGAGGGGGCCGCAGCAAAAGAGCCCACGGAACUGUUUACCAAAAACACAGGUCUCUGCGAACACGAAAGUGGAUGUAUAGGGGCUGACUCCUGCCCGGUGCUGGAAGGUUAAGGCGAAGGCUUCACGGUCUGAACUGAAGCCCCAGUGAACGGCGGCGGUAACUAUAACCGUCCUAAGGUAGCGAAAUUCCUUGUCAGGUAAGUUCUGACCCGCACGAAUGGAGUAAUCAUGUGGGCACUGUCUCAGCGAAGGACUCGGUGAAAGUGCAUUGGCGGUAAAGAUGCCGUCUGUCCGUACCAGGACGAGAAGACCCCAUGGAGCUUUACUACAGUUUUACAUUGAUACGAGUUUUGGCCUGUGUAGCAUAGGUGGGAGACGUUGAAGCAGAUACGCUAGUAUUUGUGGAGUCGUAAUGUGAAAUACCACCCCUGCCAAGGUUUUUAUCUAACCUGUGCCGUUAUCCGGUAUGGGAACAGUGUAUGAUGGGUAGUUUAACUGGGGCGGUUGCCUCCUAAAGAGUAGCGGAGGCGUUCAAAGGUUGGCUAGCUUCGGAUGGAAAUCGAAGUGAUAGUGUAUGCGCAAAAGCCAGCUUGACUGUGAGGAGUACAUUCCAAGCAGAGACGAAAGUCGGAGCAAGUGAACCGCUGUACGUACAAUUUUGUACAUAUAUGUGGGAAUGACAGCGAACACGGAUAAAAGUUACCCUGGGGAUAACAGGCUUAUAGCGCCCAAUAGUUCACAUAGACGGCGCUGUUUGGCACCUCGAUGUCGGCUCAUCACAUCCUGGAGGGGGAGCACCUUCCAAGGGUUCGGCUGUUCGCCGAUUAAAGUGGUACGCGAGCUGGGUU
rnacentral:rRNA from 1 species